rnacentral:rRNA from 1 species
AUUGAACGCUGGCGGCAGGCCUAACACAUGCAAGUCGAGCGGAUGAAGGGAGCUUGCUCCUGGAUUCAGCGGCGGACGGGUGAGUAAUGCCUAGGAAUCUGCCUGGUAGUGGGGGAUAACGUCCGGAAACGGGCGCUAAUACCGCAUACGUCCUGAGGGAGAAAGUGGGGGAUCUUCGGACCUCACGCUAUCAGAUGAGCCUAGGUCGGAUUAGCUAGUUGGUGGGGUAAAGGCCUACCAAGGCGACGAUCCGUAACUGGUCUGAGAGGAUGAGCAGUCACACUGGAACUGAGACACGGUCCAGACUCCUACGCGAGGCAGCAGUGGGGAAUAUUGGACAAUAGGCGAAAGCCUGAUCCAGCCAUGCCGCGUGUGUGAAGAAGGUCUUCGGAUUGUAAAGCACUUUAAGUUGGGAGGAAGGGCAGUAAGUUAAUACCUUGCUGUUUUGACGUUACCAACAGAAUAAGCACCGGCUAACUUCGUG